AAAAGAUAUGAUUGAAGAACCAAAAUCAUUAAAACUAGAAUACAAAGUAUUUGAUUUGUAAUGAAUCGAUUACAUCUCACGAUCGAAACAAUAUGGAAGACUGAAAAAGCACAUAACGAAUGAAUUACCUUUUAACUAAAAACUGUGUGAAUCAAACAAUACGAAUAACCUACAUUGCCUUAAUCCACCUUCUUCUCUGUUGCCUUCUUAUACUCCUCGAGUUCCUUUAUCCACAAAUCCCCGAAUUCACAAUCCUUCCAAGCCUCAAACCAAGGUCCACCAAGCGUAUAAUGGAUGGACUUAGGAAAUGUAGUUGGAUCCCCUUCAACAACCUUAUUAUGGCCGACGAGGAAGUUCCAAACGAACGGAACUUCCCCAAUCUCCUCAUCUUCCAACCAAGUAAACCUAUGGAGAAAUGCCCCAGUUUCAGUAUUGACAAUCUCAGGUGUCAAGACCUUAUUCUUUGGAUGCGCACAAUUAUAAAGAACCAUGGAUGACCAAUUCUUCCUAGGAUACACAGUUUGUACUGCCCCAUCCAUUUUAGUAGUUUCUUUAGGAGCAUAAUUAUGUUGUACACACAUUAAAGCAUAUUUAUCAUCCACCAUAUCCCUCAAUUCCUUAAUAUCCCCUAAAUACAAGAAAUCACAAUCAACAAACAUAGCCCAUCCUUCAAAAUUAGCCAAAUGGGGUGUCAAAAAACGAGUAAAUGAAAACUCAGUGCUUUCUAAUUUCCCUCUUCCACGCCAGUAUAACCCUUUUUCUCUUAACUCUGAU
rnacentral:misc_RNA from 1 species